AAAUUGAAUAUUUUACGAAAACGAAUGUUAUACGAACAUCCCCUAAAAUGAAUAGAGUCAUCACAUAAGGUUUACGUGAAUUGACCAAACGUCAAACAAUCUACGUGAAUUUCCAGUGUAAAAAACUCGAUUUUGAAAAUGGCGAGCAGUGGCCCUUGAAGUUAUGAAAGUUUCCAUGUGUUUAACUGGACCGAGUGCCUGCGUGAGUCCGGAAGUUUACCCGCUCCUGUCGAAUGCUUCAAACAGGCCGUCGGUGUGAAGCUAGAGACACUGGAACCAUGUAAUGCGACUUCAACCUGCAUCGGUAGUGUUGUGGGAGUUCUUGGAUCUUGACUGCGGCUUCGGUUGGAUGGCAGUGACAACAUAAACGAUUUCUGGAGGCUUGUCGAUUUGAGAUACCACGACGUUAUUAGUUGCUUUUUAAGCCAUUAUAAUUGUAUGACAAUUUUUUGAUAUAAAUGUUUUAUAGUU